rnacentral:rRNA from 1 species
UACAGAGGGUGCGAGCGUUGUUCGGAAUUAUUGGGCGUAAAGGGCGCGUAGGCGGUGCGGUAAGUCACCUGUGAAAUCUCCUGGCUCAACUGGGAGCUUGCAGGCGAAACUGCCGUGCUGGAGUGUGGGAGAGGUGCGUGGAAUUCCCGGUGUAGUGGUGGAAUGCGUAGAGAUCGGGAGGAACACCUGUGGCGAAGGCGGUGGCCUGGACCGGUGCUGACGCUGAGGCGCGAAGGCGUGGGGAGCGAUCCGG